rnacentral:rRNA from 1 species
UGCGUAGGUGGCAAGCGUUGUCCGGAUUUACUGGGCGUAAAGAGCGCGCAGGCGGUCGACCAAGUCGCGUGUGAAAGCCCCCGGCUCAACUGGGGAGGGUCACGCGAUACUGAUCGACUCGAAGGCAGGAGAGGGUAGUGGAAUUCUCGGUGUAGAGGUGAAAUUCGUAGAUAUCGAGAGGAACACCGGUGGCGAAGGCGGCCAACUGGACGAAUACUGACGCUGAGACUCGAAAGCGUGGGGAGCAAACAGG